AUCGAACGCUGGCGGCAUGCUUAACACAUGCAAGUCGAACGCGUGGCGGACGGGUGAGUAAUGCUUGGGAAUCUGGCUUAUGGAGGGGGAUAACGACGGGAAACUGUCGCUAAUACCGCGUACCAUAGGAUGAGCCCAAGUGGGAUUAGGGAGUUGGGGGGGUAAUGUCCUACAAAGACGACGAUCGCUAGCUGGUCUGAGAGGAUGACCAGCCACACCGGGACUGAGACACGGCCCGGACUCCUACGGGAGGCAGCAGUGGGAAAUAUUGCGCAAUGGGGGCACACUGACGCAGCCAUGCCGCGUGAAUGAAGAAGGCCUGCGGGUUGUAAAGUUCUUUCGGUGACGAGGCGUUAAUCACAGAAGAAGCACCGGCUAACUCCGUGCCAGCAGCCGCGGUAAUC
rnacentral:rRNA from 1 species